GACGAACCGUGCGAACGUUUUUCGGAAUCACUGGGCUUAAAGGGCGCGUAGGCGGGCAAACAAGUCUGGGGUGAAAUCUUUCGGCCCAACCGGAAAAGGGCCUCGGAAACUGCUUGUCUGGAGGAGGGUAGGGGUGUGUGGAACUUCUGGUGGAGCGGUGAAAUGCGUAGAGAUCGGAAGGAACGCCGGUGGCGAAAGCGACGCACUGGACCUUUUCUGACGCUGAGGCGCGAAAGCCAGGGGAGCAAACGGG
rnacentral:rRNA from 1 species